ACGAACGCUGGCGGCGUGCCUAAUACAUGCAAGUAGAACGCUGAAGGAGGAGCUUGCUUCUCUGGAUGAGUUGCGAACGGGUGAGUAACGCGUAGGUAACCUGCCUGGUAGCGGGGGAUAACUAUUGGAAACGAUAGCUAAUACCGCAUAAUAGCAGUUAUUGCAUGAUAACUGUUUGAAAGGUGCAAUUGCACCACUACCAGAUGGACCUGCGUUGUAUUAGCUAGUUGGUGGGGUAACGGCUCACCAAGGCGACGAUACAUAGCCGACCUGAGAGGGUGAUCGGCCACACUGGGACUGAGACACGGCCCAGACUCCUACGGGAGGCAGCAGUAGGGAAUCUUCGGCAAUGGACGGAAGUCUGACCGAGCAACGCCGCGUGAGUGAAGAAGGUUUUCGGAUCGUAAAGCUCGGUUGUAAGAGAAGAACGAGUGUGAGAGUGGAAAGUUCACACUGUGACGGUAUCUGACCAGAAAGGGACGGCUAACUACGUG
rnacentral:rRNA from 1 species